rnacentral:rRNA from 1 species
AGGUGCGAUCAUACCAGCACUAAUGCAGCGGAUCCCAUCAGAACUCCACAGUUAAGCGUGCUUGGGCGAGAGUAGUACUGGGAUGGGUGACCUCC